CUAUUUAGUAACAGCUUACUGAAUACCAAACACUUACUGGACUUUGUAUUUUGUUUUUCAACCCACAGAUAACACCUUUGUGCACCUAUAGAAUAUUAUUCUGUAUUCAUUUAGUGGACUCUUGUACAGCUGUGAGAACAAACUACCUCUAAGUACACAUGUAAUAAGGAUAAUUUACAAAUGUAGGAUGGGAUUAAAUGAAAAAACCGCACAAGAAUGAAACAAAGAAUAGUAAUUUGCUGCGAGAGUAUAGAUCAACUGGAUUCUGUAAUCAUAGCCCAAGACCCGCCUAGGACAUAUGGUCAUGCACCUACAGGAGUAGCAGAAAAGCAGAAAGCGAAGAAGGGGAUCUGUCAUUGAGGUGGGAGAAAACCAGCAACUUGUGACACUUUCGAAGCAGAAGAGAAAAGAAGCCACAAUGUAGACUCAAUAUCCAAACCACCGGAGACUUAAAAACAUGAGACCAAGAUCAAGCUGAUCCCCGAUUUAACUAUUGGAAGCAUGUGUAGGUAUUUAUUGCAGAAGCUAUUUCUUGCAUUUUUUUCCAUUUCUAUUUUGGGUAUGCUGGAUUGGACAGAAAAC
rnacentral:lncRNA from 1 species